GCCCAGGUGGUGGAACUGGUAGACACGAAGGACUUAAAAUCCUUUGGAUUAAUACUCCGUGCGGGUUCGAGUCCCGCCUUGGGCA
rnacentral:tRNA from 1 species